rnacentral:lncRNA from 1 species
UUUCUGCCUCUAGAACGUAUACAAAAGCUUCAAAUAGCCCUGCAGGGAUUCCUACCUCAUGCCCUAGUGUCAGCACAUCAAGCCGAGCAUUUGCUAGGCCUCAUGGCAUCAACAACGGCUGCCUUGCCUCAUGCCAGGCUCAGAAUGAGAUCACUGCAGGCAUGGCUCCUUCAUCACUUCAACCCAUUGUACGACCACCCAAGGAAGCAGUUGAGAGUCACCCCAGAGUUGGCGAGACAACUGUUAUGGUGGGGCUUCCGGCCACAUCUUCUCAUGGGGCGCCCUUUUCGACCGCUACGACUGUCGGCUCAAGUUACAACGGAUGCGAGCCCCACGGGUUGGGGGGCUCAUUGCAACGGCCACACCGUGAAUGCCUUGUGGACCUCUCGUCAAAAGGGCCUCCACAUAAACCAUCUAGAGCUGAUAGCAGUAAUAAAGGCCUUCAAGGCUUUUCUCCCCAUAAUACAGAGUCGUGGUGUGCAGGUCGUAACAGACAAUACCACGACCCUGUUUUAUAUCAACAAGCAGGGAGGAACGAAGUCUCUGUCCUUACUUUACCUAGCUGUACUACUCUGGGAAUGGUGUUGUGUCCAUCAUGUCUAUCCCAUGGCCAUUCAUAUAGCGACAACAGAGAACUCUCUAGCAGACACUCUGAGCCGGCGAAAGAGUCAGUCCCACGAGUGGGAACUAAACCAACUCAUGUGUCAGGAGUUAUGCCACAGAUGGGGCCAUCCUCACAUCGACAUGUUUGCUUCGAGCAGGAACAAAAAAUGUCUCGCUUAUGCCUCAAGAGCAGGGAAGGAUCCUUCAUCCCUGGGGGACGCCUUCAUGGUUCCCUGGAAGAAACAUCUCAUUUCCCUGUUCCCGCCGAUUCCUCUAAUUCAAAGGACCAUAGUCAGGAUAAUCCAACACAAGGCCUCAGCCAUCCUGGUGGCUCCAUUCUGGCCACGUCAAUCGUGGUUUCCAGUCCUCCGCGAGAUAGCCACGGACGUCUUCAAGUUUCCGAUGAUGCCAGACUUGCUCUCCAGAGACUCAGGGUCCAUUCUCCACCCGGACGUGGAAUCCCUUCACCUGACCGCUUGGAGGAUCUGCCAGAAAUUAAAGAAAUAUUAGAUAAGUCUCGGAAACCUUCUACUAAAUCUCUGUACAAAUACAAAUGGGACAACUUUGUCCGUUUUGCUUCUUCUAAAGACCUUCCAACAUCUCCUGUUUCUUUGAGGACUUUGUUGGUCUAUUUAAGGCAUUUGUUUGACCUUGGUUUGUCUGUUUCCACUUUGAAAGUUUAUGCGUCUGCUCAUCAGCCUUCUGGUUCGCGUUCUGCACAGCUGUUUACUCACCCGACUGUUAAGACCUUUUUUAAGGGACUUAUGAACGCUCGCCCACCUGUAAGAGCUCCUAUCCCUCAAUGGUCUCUGACUCUUGUUCUGAAUGCGUUAAUGAAACACCCCUUCGAACCCAUGUCAUCCUGUGAUCUCAAGUUUCUCUCCUUAAAGACUCUGUUUUUGGUGGCUAUUACAUCCGCCAGGAGAGCCUCUGAGUUAGCAGCUCUACGGUCAGAUCCACCUUAUCUACAGUUCUACAGGGAUAAGGUAGUUCUCUUUCCAGACAUUUCCUUUCUUCCU